rnacentral:lncRNA from 1 species
AAAAAUAGCCCUCUUUAUUAACAAAGACAACCAUACCCCUAAAAUUAACAAACCAGCUCCACCCUCCUAAACUCUAUUAACCUGCAUCCAAUUAAACAUAAUAACCCACCUCUUAUGUCAAUUUCGAUGAACUCUCAUCAAAAAUCCACCAAUAAUCAUUGAACCACCCUCCAUCCUAUUUGAAUCACCACCAUAAAUAACAAAAACCAAUGAACAAAUCAACCAAAACAACACAUUUUAAUUAAUUUUGGUGAUGUCACGCUAGAAAAUAACCAAAAAUCGAUACGGGUUAGUUGGGUCAAUUAGGGUCAUUUUACAUUUUUUUGGGUGAAUUGAUUUUUGGUUCUAGGGUUCGAUUUGAGUUGGAUCCGAGGCUAAUCAAUAUUGGGUUUAGUUUGAGGUUCGAUGGCACACAAAUUAAGUAAUUCAAUUUGAUUGGAAUAAAAUCAUCAAUUGAGGUCUAAUUCUUCAACUCUAUUUCUUUUCUAUUUUAUCUUAAUGUGGGAUGUUGAUGUUAUGAUUACGUGACUCGUCUGUGGUUGGUAAUACAUUUUGAUAUUGUAUUUGAGCAAUUCUAAUUGAUGUGGCUUUGGUUGUUUGAUUUCAUUUUAAAAUUGAUUAAUCAUGUGAUUGGGAAUGAAAUUGAGGGCAGGGAUUGAAAAUUGAUAAAAAUGAAUAUUGGUUUGUUUUGAUUCAUUGAUGGUUGUUUAACUCAGAAUAGGCAUCAAUUUUGUUAAAUACAGUAGCAUCAUGAUUAGGUCAUCAAAUAAGGUACGCAAAUUAUAGAAUUCCAUAUUUAUCGAAUAUUUGAAUGUGUGUUUGAAUGGUUUUCUAUUUCAUUUCCCAAAAUUAAAGUUGUAUUCAUUUUUCAAAGAAUGCCUCGAGAUCUUAUGUAUUUACUAGACAGGGAAUGCCCUAAGGUCUUAUGCAUUCAUUAUCGGAGAAUGACCCAUAAGAUCUUAUACUUGGCGGCAUUCGUGGACAAGACCCGAGAUAUCUUAGGAUUAGUUUAGGAUAUAAUAGGUUUUCAUUCUAGUACCCUUUCAUUUUUGGGAUUGUAUAAUUAGACUGGACAUUAUGUUGGAACUUUUAUUUGUUUGUGUGUUUUGUUUGCUUAUGUGUUUUUUUUGUGAUAUUUAUCCAUCCCAUAGUGUCAUAUUAGCCGAUAUAACUCAAACAAAGCAACUAUGCUCGAGUCAUGGGACCGAGGGGUGCCUAAACCCUCCUCUUGGUCAAUAUAAUUCCUUGAUUGGAAUAUUUAUUCGUGGAUCAGAUUUAAGAGUCAAACAUUUUAAAAAGGGGAAUUUAAAAAGUUGACUUGGUGCACCAAAUAAUGCUAAGUGGCGAAUCUGAGUUUUAAUUGCAAAAUCCUUUUUUGAGACACAUUUUCAUUUUAGUCACUUUAAUAAUACAAACCCUUUUGAAAUUUAAAAUUAAUCUUUUCAUGGUAAAAAAGGGGUGUGACUUCUCUUGCGACUCCACUGGGGAUUUUUAAAAUUCGAGCUUUAUUUUUUAGUUGUAUCAGCUUAGUUUGACACUAUAGGAGCAUAGAAUCUUUGUUAUUUUUAUCAUUUUAUCAUUGUUGGAUGUCUACGUGAUAUUUAGUUAUAGUUUUUCUUUACGUGUUACUACUUUAUAUCUAUUAUCAUAUGCAUCACCUUGAGUCACCUUGAGUCAUUCCUUUCAAAUCAAGUAUCGUAGUACAUGCUAUGUACACGAACCUUUAUUAAGUCACCUUUAUUUUAGGAGGGAGAGACAUCGGCUGGUACGGAGUGGUGGAAAGCAAUCGCAGCCACCAUCGAUCAUACCCUCCCCUGAGUUGUCCUGUCAUUUGAACCCAAGCCUAGGUCGACCUUAAGGUCAUUCUUAUUUUUAUCAUGUUAAGACGUAGUGGGACUAAUUUGGCUCUUUGCAGGACAUUUAACCCUAAGCAUCCCUAUGUAUUACUUGUUGCAUCUUUAAGAGUAAAAAUAUCAUUUGAUGUGCUGAUUUAGAGAUGCAUAUACUAAAAUGGUUAGAAAAUAUGUGUUUAGGAAAGGGUGAUUAAGGAAAAAAAGUGUCGAAAAAUCAAAUUCAAAAAAAUAAGAAAAAGUCAAAAAAAGAAUUCAUAGUUUGUAGGGUUUCUCUUUGGCUUUUAUUUUCACAAUCAAAAAAAAAAUUCAAAAAACUUUUACCUUUUGCAUGUUUUUCUUAGAAAAAUAAAACAAAAUUAAAAAGAAUUUCCCUUUAUUUCCUUUAGCAUGUGUUUACAACUUGAAAUUUUCAAAAAAUAUUUUUAUUUGGUAGUAGCUUUUAUACAUUUUUUAUAGAAGAAAAUCCAAAAAAAAUGUUAGAAGUUUUUUACAUUUCAUAUAAUGAACAUGUAAAAAUGAUGUUAGAAGUUUUGUACAUUUCAUAUAAUGAAAAUGUCAAAAAUAUUUUUCUUUUAGCGUCUUCAUGUUUUCUAUGUCAAAAUUUCAAAAAUAUUUUUAUUUUGGUGUUUUAUUUUUGAACAAUUUCAUAUAAAAUACAAAAAGAUUUUUCUUUCGUAGUUUUUGGUUUCAUUUUACAUGAAGUUUCAAAUCAAUAACUCUAAAAAAGAAAAAAGAUUUUAUUUGUGUGUUUUAUCAUCUAUUUUUUAUCGUGUCUACCAAGUCAGUGUACAGUUUAUUAUUUAAUCUUUAAUUGUCCAAUCUGGACGAACUAUGCACACGUGAUUCUCUUCUCUCAAGAGUGUGAUACGUAGGCAACCCUUCUUAGGUUCGGUAAUCUUUAAAAAAAAAAUAUCCAAAAGAUUAUUUUUCAUGCUUCAUUAAAAAAAUAUCCAAAAGAUUAUUUUUCAUGCUUCAUUUAGAGUUGGUGUUCCAUAUACGUCUUUAAAAAAAGAAAAUACAAAAAGAUUUUCCUUUAGUAGUUUUAGAUUUCAUCUGUGAAUGAAAUUUAAAAUCAAAAAUCCAAAAAGAAUUUUUGUCAAUAUUAUUUGAAAAAAAUAAUAAUUAAAAAAAUUCAUUUAUCCUUCAUUUUAGAUUAGUUGUCUCAUGCAUUUCUUCAAUAUGAAAAAUACAAAGAGAUUUUUUUUUGGUAAUCAUAGGUUUCUUUUUAAAUAAGUAAUUCAAAGUUGAAAAAUUCAAAAAUAUUUUCACUAACUUCUUGUGAAAACUCUUUAUUUUGUGUUAAAACUUCACGAACUACUCACACCUGAUUCUUGUCUCUCGAGGUUGAGAUACAUAGGCGCCUUUCUUAGGUUCAGGGAUCAUUUUAAAAAGAAAAAAAAAAGAAAAAAGAGAUUUUAAAAAGAUUUUAAAAAAGAUGUUGAACUCUAACGUAUUUGUUAUUUCAAUUAUUCAGUUAGUUUAAGGUGGUUGGUUUGCGGCAUUUUGGAUGGUCCUCCAUAUUACACCAAGUCCAAGGAAGAGUUAGUUAUAUCCAACAAGAAUAUCGAGAAUGACAUCAUGGAUCAGAGAAAGAGUCAGAAAAAUGAGAUUUUAAAGCAAGAUAUUUUGAGACUUAAGGCAAAAAAUGACAGAAAUACAUCGAGCUUGAAUCAGCGGAUUGCCUCCUCCUCCAUUUCCCGCCUACAAAUACCAUUAGUCUUCCACCAAUGUGGUAAACUCAGUUUCCUACUGUCUUUGAUGUAUCACAACAUACACCCCAAGAACAUCCCAAUGCUUCCACUAUUUAUCCUCAAUAUAAACCUACCAUAUUUACAGCAUAUCCUACUGUCCGUAUUUUUGUUGCUCAACCCACUACUGAGGCUCCCACCUUGGCUAUCCAUCUAACGGUUGUACUUCCCAAUCUUCUAGUGAUUUUAUAUUCAAUACUUUUGAUGAUCACUCUUAUACCCUUGAGCCUAUAUCUAAGUUAACUAGACCGCCGAAAUUGCUUACCAAGAAGCUUGGCAUGACAGAAAAGUGGAGAAAAUGGCUAGAAAAAUAAAGAAUGUAGAAAAUACUAUAGAAAAUUCUCUGUGACUUGCAGGUUAUGAAGAUAUUUCAUAUACGGACUAGGGAAUGGGUCCAAGUAUUAGCCUUCCUUCUAGUUUUAGGUUGUCAAAAUUUGAGGAGCGUGAUGGACACGAGGAUUAUGUGAGACAUUGGGACUAUAUUGCAAUCAAUCGAGGGGGAUAGAAGGAAAAUAAUAAGAAAGAUGUAGCUAUUAUUGUGCUAGGGCCGCAACAGAGUUCGAGAGAUCCAACUCACCAAUACUAUCGGCCUCAACCCUGAGCCUAUACACCAGAUCUACAUACCCAUCAACAAGAAGGUUCCUCUCUUCGAAAUUCAAAAUAUUCCAAUCCUCUUUCUCAAAAUCCUUUGAUCAAAGGAACACUAUAUACUCAUUCAUCUUCUUAUCCAUAAUGGCAUGCACCGAUCCCUCAAAAUCAUCCUCGACCCUCACAUAUUUACCAAGGUACCAUUAAAUUUAAAUUUUAACUCAGGCUAGAAUUUGCAAAGAGGGGGAAACUAGCGGAUAAUGCAUAUUAAUUGGGGAGUUAUAUAUCAUUUUGUUUUAGAAAUUGAGAUAGUGGGGCAUGGUUACUCCUCUUCUCAGAUAUACUCCUGAUUUAUUUUCAAGAAAUUUUAAUCAUAAUGUAUGAUGUGCAUAUCAUUCUAAUGUUCAGGAUCACAGUACUGAGUAUUGUCGCACUUUAAAAGGAGAAAUAUAAAGGAUAAUUCGGGAAAAAUUAAUUAUGGUGAAAGACAUUAACACCACAAACAUCACACAGAAUCCUUCAUCAGCACACUAUAAUUCACAAUUUGUGGGAAGCAAUGACUUAAACAUAGGGACCCAAAACUUAUUUAUUGAGGGAAAUAAAAUAGAAAGUGGUGAAACCUCUAGUCAUGCUGAUGUGCAAAUCAGUGGCUAAGAUGUCAAGCUCAGCAAUUGGGAAGUCACUCCUUGCCAUACUAGGAAGGAUUUUAGCAAUUUGUUUUGUUUUAUUUUCUGUUAUCUAAAUUAUUUCAAGGUUGUAGUUCAAGAUCCAUCUUGUUUUGUCCCUUUAUAUUUUAUGUUCAAACCUUUCUAUAUUUUCUUUCAACUAAAUGUAGUGUUCAUUGUUGCUUAUUCUUUUUAAUAUGGGUUGUUUGUUUGUUUUCUUUACACAAUGCAUUUUAUGUUGGUUCUAGUGAUAUGGCAUGCUUGCAAAAUUUUCAGCCAGAUCUUAAAAUCUAGUUUAAUCAUGAAACUUUGAAUCAGAUUGUUAAAGUUAGAAAAAAAGCAUUUGAGAAAAUAGGUAGAGUGUUGAGACAUUUGGUGACCAAAUUAAAGCCUAUAUUGAAUAAAUUAAGGUAAUCACUUUGAGGAUCACAAGAAUAACCUGGUCUUAAAUUGAAAGGUAUAUUUUAAUUAUUUUGAAUUGGAUCAAAUAGUGGAUGCACGAUCUGCUAUCAACAGAAACAAAAGGAAAACUAGUUCCAGUAAGGUAUAAGUCAUCCAAUAUGAGGUGUGUACAACAAAGAUAGAGUUGUAUGUUUGACAAGUACGGAAGAAGAAGUAACACACAUGUUCAUUAAAGUUAGUGUUGUGAAAAAUAUGGUAUAAGUGAUCUCCAUCUUCCACUUUCAUAUUGCUCGCUUUGUACUUGCAUUUUUAAAGAUUGAUAUGAUGACGGCAUUUCAUUAUGCUAUCUGAACAUUGAUUCAUCCUUUGUUUACCCCAUUUGAUAGUUUUAUUUUUUGUAUUGUACCCCUCUUUUGGAAUCAAUUUGGAGUCAGCAAAAGUUCAAAAAAAAAAAAGAAAUGUGUUGAGAAAAAGAAUAGAGUAAGGAAAAGUUCAAAAAAAAAAAAGAGUAAGCAAAAAAGAGAUAAGAAUGUCAAUAAAAAUAGAGUCAUAAAAGUUCCAAAGAGAAAAAAAAAGCAAUCAAAAUCAAGCAAAAGAACAAGUUGUCUGAACUACGUUUGACUCUUGCAAUGGCAAGAUACGUAGGUAGUCCUACUCUGGAGUUAGAUCUAACCAAGUAAAAGUUAAAGAGUCCCUAGUUUAAAAGAAACUAGGAGAAGAGUUAGUUUUGUUUUUUGAGUUGAUUCCAAAAGUUGUAAGUCCCACCCUACUUUAAGUAUUGUUUGAGCCUCAUACAAUUGUUUCUUUCUAACUCUAUCCAAAAGUCACGCUACAACCAAAUAAAGACUUUCAAAUCAAUCUUUAAGAAUGUUAAGGCUAAGCAUGCAAUGGAUAUAUGAUGAUGUAUUUUGGGUACUACAUGUAUUCAUCAGCAUAAGAAAUCAAGAGAUAAAUGAAUUAAGAAACUUAGUGAGUUGAGAGAAAUAAAAAUGAGAGAGUAUUAUAAGUGAAAACCUUCAUGAAUACUGUACGGCGGUGGUGAGUUGAGAGAAGAAAAAAUGAGAGAGCCUUAUUGGUAAAAACCCUCAUGAGCACCAUAAGAUGAUUAUGAGUCGAGAGAAAUAAAAAUAAGUGAGUUUCAUUGGUGAAAAAUCUCACGGACACUGUAUGGAGACGGUGAGUCGAGAAAGAUGAAAAUAAGAGAGAUUUGUUGGCAAAAACCCUUUAGGGCAUUACUAGCCGAACGAGGUCUAUGAUUGCAAUGGGUUUAAGAAAUCAACUCAAUGUCAGGUUAUGCGGUAUAUAGUGCUAUCACAUGCCACCCUUAACAAAUAUUUGUGAAAAGUUUGGAUGGAAAGAUCAGGCAGCUUAAUAGAAAAUGCAUGUCAUAAUCAUUAGAGUUGGUGUUUGUAUUUAGAUAAGUUUUCUUUUCUUCAUUUUCAAAAAAAAGACAUUCAUUGUCUUUUUGUUCUUCUCUAUAUUUCUAUUUUAUUGCUCUUGAGUUUGUUAUCUAAAUAGAAAAUCAUUACCAUUUUUCUCAUAUCUUAGAGUCAAGUCAAUGUCAAAACAAGUGAGAAAGAAUUACAAAACUUACUACCAACUUUUUCAAUUGCCCAAAGCUACACAAAAUGCCAGCACAUGAAAGAAAAAUAAUUGUGAGUCGAAACAAGGCAUGAAGAAAGUUUUUGUCAAAAGACAAGUUUACGAAUUUGUGGAAAUACCAAGGGUUAAAGGGUUUAUUCAAGAGACAUAGCAAAAUAAAGAUAUAGUGUUUGUUUUAGAGUCGCUCUUAAUAAUCUGAGUUUGGAUCAAUGGUGUAGCAAUACAAUGACAUAUGUCAAUAGUUGGAAGCAAUAUUAAAUAUGACAAGUGCAAGAGCGAAUGCCUCAAAAGCUUAAGCCAUAAACCAGCCACCAUGUUUUUAUACUCACAAGUUUUCCCACCAUGUUUUUAUACUCACAAGUUUUCUUUGUAGGAAACAGGAACACAUGUUACCUUCGAAUUAAAGGCUUUAAAGUGUAAAUAUCAAGAGGUGUAGUUCCUCACUUCUGCAAAUGCAAGAGAAAAUAUUUGUUGCAAAGUUUUCCUAAUCAUAAUGAUGAAAAAUCUCAUCAUCCUAUACCUCUAAGAGACACUCUNNNNNNNNNNNNNNNNNNNNNNNNNNNNNNNNNNNNNNNNNNNNNNNNNNNNNNNNNNNNNNNNNNNNNNNNNNNNNNNNNNNNNNNNNNNNNUUCCAGUUAGGGUCUUUUAUGUCUCAUGCCUAGUAGACUCGCUUCCUUGUAUGGGUAAUUCAAGUUUCGUUUGUUAGGUGAUGCACUUCCUAACUUGAACCUUUACUCCUAGAAGUCGUACUUUCUAGUUGAGUUCUUCUAUUAACCCCUAGGAGACGCAUUUCCUUGUCUGGGUAAUUAUGUUUUCAUUUAUUAGGUGACACACUUCUUAACUUGAACCUUCACUCCUAGAAUUCGCACUUUCUAGUCGAGUCCUUCCAUUUAAACCCUAGGAGACGCACUUCCUUGUUUGGGUAAUUCAAAUUUUGUUUGUUAGGUGACGCACUUCCUAACUUGAACCUUUACUCCUAAAAGAUGCACUUUCUAGUCGACUCAUUCCGUUUAACCCCUAGGAGACACACUUCCUUGUCUAGGUAUUUCAAUUUUCAUUUGUUAGGUGACGCACUUCCUAACUUGAACCUUUUCUCCUAGUAACUGCAUUUUCUAGUCGAAUCCUUCCAUUUAACCCCUAGGAGAUGCACUUCCUUGUCUGGGUAAUUCAAGUUUCAUUUAUUAGGUGAUGCACUUCCUAACUUGAGCCUUUACUCCUAGAAGAUGCAUUUUCAAGUUGAGUCAUUCCAUUUAACCCCUAGGAAACCCACUUCUUCUUUGGGUUUUUCAAGUUUUAUUUGUCAGGUGACGCACUUCCUAACUUGGACCUUCACUGCUAGAAGCCACACUUUCUAGUUGAAUUCUUCCAUUUUAACCCCUAAGAGACAAAUUUCCUUAUCUGGGUAUUUCAAGUUUUGUUUGUUAGCUGAAGUACUCCUUAUUCAUCAUGCAAAUUAAGAACCAAAUCAUGAAUAAUCACACAUUAAUCCUCAAAACCCUUCACAAAUGCAAAACCUAACACUUGGUGUGCAUAAUCCAUUUCCACCCUUUUACCUAUUUUGAGAUCCCAUGAGUACUUAAGAUUUGCUCAUAAUUCACACCAAAAUGAAAUUUUUAUACCCAAUUUGGACACAUAUUUAGUGAUUUAAUUAAAUCAAUCGCACCAAAAUUCCUACUCCAACUAGUAGGAUUAGAAGAAGAGAAGGGAUCGCCAUGAGUUAUUAACCCAAAAGUAAAGGAAGGCAUAAAACAUACCUGAUUUGUGCAAAAGGAAUUGAAGAGGAGAAGGGUCUGGACAGCAAGGAGAUCAAAAAUAUGAGAAAAACUGUUGGACUAUGGCUAUUUGAACCUAGGGAAUUUGAGGCUUCAUGUAUCACGAUCGUGAUAAACGUAUCACUUACAUGACAUUUGAGUAAAAUUGAUUUAUCGCAUACACGAUCUGUAUGUUGCAUCGCCCAUAGGUACUGACAGAUUGCUUACACGAUUUGCCUGUCACAUUUGCGAUAUAUGAGGCCCUCAGGUACCUCCUGGAAGUUGCUCAAUUCCUAUUUAUUCAAAGUGGUGCAUCCCCAAACCUAAUUCCAGUCAACUUUUUGUUUCCUAACCUGCUCAAAUCACUUUCAAAAUUUCAAAAUUUUAUGGAUUAGUUAAGAAUAAAACCUAAAGUAUUCUAACAAUUUAAAAACUAAGGGAUAAAUGAAAAAUUAUUUUAGAAACGAUGGGUUGCCUCCCAUCUAGAAACAUGAUGGGACGAUGCCCAUUAAUCAUCAUCGAAAAUCUUUGAGUCAAAGUUACUCAACCUUAGCCACUCCGGGUCCACCAACAUAGUAAUGGUUCAACCUUUGUCCAUUUACCACAAAUCUCUUCUUUUCGUGGUCUUCCAACUCAAUAACUCCACCAGGAUAAACAUUUGAGACAACGAAUAGACCCAACCACUUCAAUCUAAGCUUACCCACAAAGAAUUUUAAUCUAGAAUUAAAGAAAAGCACAUCAUCAUCCAUAUGAAACUCUCGUUUUAAGAUUUUAUCGUCAUGACACCUCUUUAUCUUUUUUUGUACAACACAAAGCUUUCGUAUGCUUUGAGUUGGAAAUCAUCCAACUUAUGAAGCUCAUUUACUCUUGAUUUGGUGCAUUCGCCCAAUCCAUAUUCAACUUUCUCAAAGCCCAUGAAGUCUUAUGCUCCAACUCAACGGGUAAGUGACAAGCCUUACCAAACACCAAUAGGUAGGAUGACAUACCAAAAGGAGUUUUUUAGGUCGUAAUAUAUGCCCAAAAAGAAUCAUCAAGUUGUCUUUCCCAAUUUGUACGGCCAACAUUCACAUUUUCUCAAGGACGGACUUGAUUUCACAGUUUGAAACCUCAACUUGGCCACUUGUUUAGGGAUUAUACGGAGUGGUACACUUUUGAUUUACCCCAUACUUAUCAAGUAAAGCACCAAAACCCCAAUUAUAAAAUAGAAAACUGCCACUACUAAUAAUUGCUCGUACAGUCCCGUAUCUUAUAAAGAUGUACUUCUUCAAGAAGAAGGUGAACGCUUGCUUUUAUUGUUUUGUAGGGCAAUGGACUCCACCCACUUGGAGACAUAAUAAACGGCUACCAAUAUGUAUUUAUUACUAUAUGAUCUCAUAAAGGAACCCAUGAAGCCGAUCCUCCACACAUAGAAUAAUUUAACCUCGAGAUUAGGCUUAAGAAGAAUCUCAUGCCUUCUAGAAACACCACCUUGCAUUUGGCAUUGAGGACACAUCUUAACCGAAUCAUAAUCAACUCUAUGAAGGGUAGGACAAUAGUAUCCACUUUUAAGAACCUUUGAGGAUAUCCCGAUCCCACCAUGAUGACCCCCAAUCUGGGAAGAAUGGCACACCUCAAUAUUAGCCCUUAUUUUUGACUCCAUAACACACCGACAAAUCAUACCAUCCUCACACACUCUAAACAACUAUGGUUAAUCCCAAAAAUACUUCACAUCAAAUAGUAAUCUCUCCUUUUGAUAAUGACUAAGAUUAUCGGGAAGUAGAUCACUAACAAUAUAGCUAACAUAGUUCGCAUACCAAGGUGCACUACUUCCCGAGAGUGAUAUGACUAAUUCAUCAGGGAAAGUGUCAUUAAUCUUAAUCUCACCAAACUUCUCAUGAUUAGAUUCAAGGUGGGAAAAGUGGUCGGCAACUUUAUUUUCACACCCCUUUCGAUCUUUCACUUCAAAAUCAAAUUCUCGUAAAGGCAAUUCCACUUAAUCAACUAAGUUUUUGCCUCUUUCUUAGCAAUGAGAUAUCUAAGAGUGGCGUGGUCCAUGUGUACAGCCACUUUUGUACCUAAAAAAUAGGCCCAAGAUUUUUUAAAAGAAUACACCACCGCUAGUAACUCUUGCUCCGUAAAUAUAUAGUUAUGUUGGGCAUCAUUCAAUGAUUUUCUUGCAUAAUAGACCGGAUGGAACAAUUUCAUUUUUCUUUGUCCAAUAUCGCACCUAAAGCAACACCACUCAAAUCACAUAUUAGUUCAAAGGGCAAUGAAAAAUCCAUAGCUACUAUGAUAUAAGCCGACGCAAGAAGUUUCUUGAGACAAUUAAAAUUCUUUAGACAAUCAUCACCAAAUUAAAACGUCAUCGCCUUUUCAAGGAGAUUGCAUAAAGGAUGAGAAAUAUUCGAGAAAUCCUUAAUGAAAUGCCUAUAGAACCCUACAUGACCAAGAAAACUUCUAACACCCUUCACGGAGAUAGGUGGAGGCAACUUAGCAAUCACUUCAACUUUUGCUUGAUCGACUUGGAUGCCUUUUCCUAAAAUUUUGUAACCUAGUAGAAUGCCUUCCUUAACCAUAAAAUAGCAUUUUUCCUAAUUCAAAAUAAGAUUGGUAUCCACACACCGUUCGAGGACUUUACUUAAGUGAUCAAAGAAAGAGUCGAACGAAUCCCCAACCAUGAAGAAGUUAUCCAUGAAAAUCUCCAUGAUAUCCUCUAACAUAUCCAAAAAAAUGGACAACAUACAUCAUUGGAAUGUAGUUGGUGCAUUGCAUAGCCCAAAAAGCAUGUGUUUGAAAGCAAAGGUCCCAUAGGGACAAGUGAAAUGGUUUUUUUCUUGAUUUUCUAGGGCGAUGUAAAUUUAAUUAUACCCCGAAUAUCCAUCAAGGAAAAAAUGUCAUCCAUAACCGGCUAGUCGAUCCAAUAUUUGAUUCAUGAAAGGCAUAGAAAAAUGAUCUUUCUUAGUCCACGAGUUCAAUUUAUGAUAGUUCAUACAUACCCUCCAACCCGUGACCUGACGGACAAGCACAAGAUUAUUAUUCUUAUUUGGUACCACCGUCAAGCCACCCUUAUUAGAAAUACAUUGGACCGGACUCAUGCAGUACUAUUAGAAAUUGGAUAGACAACACCCGCAUCAAGCCAUCUGAUAAUUUAUUUCAUGACUACCUUUUGUAUUAUUGGAUUUAGUCUUCUUUUGUGUUCCAUACUAGGAAUAUAGUCGACCAAUCACCAGUUUGAUUUUGUAAGAGAAAAUUUCGAGCGCAAUGCCUAUGAUGUCUAUUAUAGUCUACCCGAUAGCAUGGAUGAACUUUUUCAUAAUAGAUUUCAAGGUAUCCACUUAACAAGUAUCAAUAUCACCUGCAACAAUGAUUGGCAACGUACUGUUCUCACCUAAGAAAAUAUACCGGAGAUAGAAUGGCAACGUCUUAAGUUUAAGUAGAGGCGGUUCAAUAAUAGAUGAUUUGGCGGGUAGACUUUCACAAUUUUUAAGGCAAGAUCCAGUAUGGUCGGGUUCUUGGUAUAAGAUCCAAGGCCCGUCAACGAAGCAACCACCUCAUCAAAUUCUUCAAUUGUCUUACUCCCUAAGUUCAACAAUACACCAACGAAGGGGUCAUCCAUAAGAUUCGCUUCUAUGGUGUUAGUUAAUUCAUCAUCUAUACCAUCAAUCACUAAAACAACUUGCAAGUCUAUAGGUUGCUUCAUAGACUUACACACAUUGAAAGAGACCUCUUCAUUAUUAAAACACCCUGGAGUCUGGACCUUAGAAAAAUUUCUUGAUUUUUGGUUUUUGGUUCAGAUACGACUUAGGGAACAAGUCAUACACUUGCGUACAGGUGGUAUGGUCCAGUCGUAUGCUAACCAGUGUUGGUUGCUGGGAUGGAUUUAGUUAUUGGCAUGAGUACAACUUGGGUGGUACGAGUCGUAUAAGUGGGUACGGGUUAUUUGGUUACUUCACUUAAUCUUAGACUUGUUAACUUAGGUUGGGUGUGGGUACGAAUAGGUCACCAUGAGCCAUAAGCCAGGGUAUGAGUCGUACCAUGGAUAGACUUUCACAAUUUUUAAGGCAAGAUCCAGUAUGGUCGGGUUCUUGGUAUAAGAUCCAAGGCCCGUCAACGAAGCAACCACCUCAUCAAAUUCUUCAAUUGUCUUACUCCCUAAGUUCAACAAUACACCAACGAAGGGGUCAUCCAUAAGAUUCGCUUCUAUGGUGUUAGUUAAUUCAUCAUCUAUACCAUCAAUCACUAAAACAACUUGCAAGUCUAUAGGUUGCUUCAUAGACUUACACACAUUGAAAGAGACCUCUUCAUUAUUAAAACACCCUGGAGUCUGGACCUUAGAAAAAUUUCUUGAUUUUUGGUUUUUGGUUCAGAUACGACUUAGGGAACAAGUCAUACACUUGCGUACAGGUGGUAUGGUCCAGUCGUAUGCUAACCAGUGUUGGUUGCUGGGAUGGAUUUAGUUAUUGGCAUGAGUACAACUUGGGUGGUACGAGUCGUAUAAGUGGGUACGGGUUAUUUGGUUACUUCACUUAAUCUUAGACUUGUUAACUUAGGUUGGGUGUGGGUACGAAUAGGUCACCAUGAGCCAUAAGCCAGGGUAUGAGUCGUACCAUGGACUAGUAUGAUGGGCAGUGUUUAAACCUUCUGGGAUUCUAUUCUGCCAGGGGUACAGUUUAUGGGUACUAGUCGUACACUUGGAUACGACUUAGGGGUUUAGGUGAGUCAUACCUUGGACAGUGUUAGGUCCAAGGGAAAGUUUAGGGUAUGAGAGGUGGGUACCACUCGUACAGGAUGGGUACGACUCAUAAAGGUUAGUCAUACCCUAUGAUGGAAAUUAAAUGCAGUUUAAGUGAGGGCAAUCUGGAUAUUUUCUCACUUAUCCUACUAAGGUCCUAUGACUUAUAUUGCACUUGGAAGGUUAUUUUCCAUACUAUUCUUUUCUUAAACACUUAGAAAACACUCUUAAAUCCUCUCUAGAGUUUUAGGCAAAGAAAGCUAGAUUUUCAUCUUAAGGAGUAAAUUGGGGCUUGUCUUGGUAAUUUCUCUCCAUCAUCAUCUUAGUUUAAGGCAUGUUCUCUUCCCUCAUUGUUAGUUCCAAAUAAAGGCAUAGAUUUUAUACAAUUUUUUCUUGAUUUGAAUGUUGUAUGAUUUUGGGUUUUCUAAUAUGAUUUGGGGGGUUUAGCUAUAAAUGUUUGGUUAUGGUAUCCCCAUGAUUUAAUUAUGCUUUUAUCUGCUUUAAUGGUGGUUUUGGAUAAUUGGUUGCAUGGGAAUGAUUAUUUGGUAAUGGAUUUUGGUUUUGGUAAUAUUAUGCCCCCAAUGUGAGAAUAUCAAGUUGAUUCAUCACUUUAGCCAUGUUUGUAUCUCUUUCCUUAUCAUUUUUCCUUUGCUUUUGGCUGACAAAAUAUGUGUAGGGAUCCCCUACGACCACCUUGGUAUCUCUUGUGUGCCAACCUUUACUUUGCUUGGUUAUUUGAUCUAGAAAAGCUGAUGCAACAACAUAAGAUAAUUUGAUAAUGGAACCACUGUUGCAUUUUAUCUAGAACUAAUGCCCUAUAGAAAAUUUGAAUAAGCAUUUUAUCUAGAACCUCAUGAUUUAGGCAUUGCAUGAACUUAUUGUUGAAUCAUUGCCAAGCCUCAUAUAAUGGUUCUCUAUUAAGUUAGAAAAAGUUGUUGAUUUCAUCCCUUAGUUGUAACAUCCGAAAAAAAGGAAAGUACUUUUCCAAGAAUGCUUCUAUGAGCUCAACCCAUAAAGUGAUAGAUCCCGCGGGAAAAGCCCGCAACCAUAAAACCACUUCCCCAUCAAAGAGAAUGGAAAAAGAUGCAACCGGAUUGAUUCUUGAGAUAUGUGGGCUAUGCCAAAUAGAGAAUACAUAUCAAUAAAAUUCUUCAAGUGUAGAUUAGCAUCCUCAUGUUCAUGACCUCUAAAUAACCCUUUAAUUUGACUCAAAUAAAGUAUCACGCUAGUGAUGUGAAAUACUUCAUUUUCUUUCACCGAUGGAAUACGAAUAGCACUAGCUCGGUCCGCAUCUCCGAGGUGAUCAUCAUCCUCAAGAUACCCAAUAAUAGUCCCGACAUUACUACCGUGUUGGCUUAUAGUAUCAUGUGCACUAUUAUCCCCACCUGAGAAAAAACAAAAACAACAAACAAUGUAAACUAAAAUACUAUGGUUGACCCAAAGUGACUAAAAACACUACAAAAGUGAAAACUAUGGUUCACUCCCUGACAAUGACGCCACUUUUGAUAACGCUCAAAUUACAUUCUUGAAUGGGUAUAAGUGAUCGUUGUCAAUACAAUAACCCAACUUAGAUUGGGGUUGAAUCUACAAGAAGUGAAAACAAAGAAUUCAAAGCUCAAGAGUGUUGAAAGUCAACUAAAGGUUGACUCGUAAUGUGUAUGAAACAAACAUAAAUGUAAAAUGAGGGAUUUAAUUUUAAUAUUAUAAAGUAACAAUUUCUUUGUUUUUAGAAUGCUACAUUGAGAUUGGAAAUACGAAGAGUGUAAUCACUAGGAAAAGGACCUUGGUGUUAUGUCAUUCUAGGUGUCAGUUCAUGCAAAGGAAAUUGAAAAUCUACUCAAAUUUAGUUAGAAAUCAUGGGUUGAUUAAAAUUAGAGCUCUUGAUGUUAAUCUUUCAAUCAAACACCAAAUUUCAAAAAUAGGUUCUUUCAAACACCUCAUACGUGUAAUAAUUUUACCAAUCUAUUGCCUCAAUUAACAUUCUUAUGUCUAAGAGAUGCCAUUAAAUAAAAUACUUCAAGUUAUUGAUUGCAUUUAUUCCUCACCUAUAUCCCCUCUUUCAGGGAUGAUAGAUUGCAACCUCACCUCACCUAUUGAUUGCAACCCCUAAUCUUAGUUAAAUCAUGAAAUAAAUGCAAAAUCCAUAACAACUAGCUAAUUAAGAGAAUAAAUAAACAACAUCCAUGCACUAAUCACGCCCCAUUCAAGCAUAACCCCAAUAUUUAGAAUUAGCUACUCAUCAAGAAAGAAAGUAGAGAUACACCAAAAUUUUAUUAAAUUGCUCCAUGAAAACUAAAGGACAUGUACUACCAAGCUUUUAGUUUCAAUAACUCUUAAAUGUAAUUACUAAUUCCUCACUUAAGAAUCACUCUAAGAAUGUUCUUCAUUCAAUAGUGCAAAAAUGUAUUCUAAGCUCCAAGAAAAUAAAAUCGGUUGCUAGAAAUGUUAGGCCUUGUGCCUUUUACACAUUGGGAUCAAGCCACAUGAAAUUCCAUCAUUGCCCCUGACGUUCGGUUUUGUAAUUCUUUUGGUUAUGAUAGGGACUUCUAUCUCUGGUGUGACAGUCGCGUAUGCGACUCAAUAGGUCGAUUAUGCAACUUCUUUGUCUGCAUUGGACAUUCUCAUACGCGAAGCAUGUGAUCACAAUCGCGACAUCUGUGACUUUCCUGACCUGUCGCUUAUGCGAGCCAUAACAUCGUGAUUACGAUUUCUUCCGCUAUUAAGACUGGUCGCGUUCUCCAUCCUUAGAUCACAUACACGAUGCUUGAGGGUUAUUUCUGAAACACACCUUCAGCCUUUUUCCUGUUCAGCUCUUUUUUCUCCUUUGUAUCUUCAACUUCACUCCUUUUUCACUAGGCUCCCUGAAACACUAUAAAUAUCAGAAAUUAGUGCAUUUCAUAAAGUAAUUAGCCUUAUAUCAUCAAUUUAGCCAUAUUAAUUUAUAAGAAAUGAGAUAUAAAUGAGUGGAGAAAUUGCAACUCAUCAAUACCAACUGCUGCUUUGAUGCAUAACUGGAACCCUGAGCUCUCGGAGAGUUGUAUUUGUUGUAACAAUCCUAAAAGGGAAAUAAUUGGUCACCUUUUUCUUAGAGGUGAGACUGUUGUAAGGGUGUGGGAUCAUUACUGUGUAGGUGUUGGAAUAAGGGAGCAUAUAUUAAAUAUAAAAUAAAGUGUUAGGAUGUGGAGGAAACAAAGUGGAAACUAUAAACUGAAAGUUGUAUACACUGUGAUGAUAAGUUGCAGUCAUACAAAAUACCUAGUUCUUUUGAGAAGAUUAGAUGGAUUCCUCUUGAGUGGUUGGCUAAAAGGCAAUAUUGAUGGUGCAUCUAAGGUAAUCUUGGUCCUAGUUCUAUUUCAUUUUGCAUUAGGGAUCAAAAUGGUGAUCUAGUAGUAGCUCAAGGUAAAUGAAUAAAAGAAACCACUAGUUUGGAGACAAAAGCAAUAGCUAUUAGGGAGUGCCUAAAGUAUUGUAGACUGAAUUCUUUUUCUCAAAUCAUACUGGAAAGUGACUCUUGGACCAUGGUGCAAAUUAUGAAUACACCGUGGGAGGUCCCUUAGAGUGUGGCAAUAGUGGUUAAAUCCAUUAAAGCAAUAAUGGAAACUAUGUCAGUUAAGUGGUACAUUUCCUUAGAAAAGGUAACACUCGAGCUGAUUUUUUUGCUAACCUAGUUUUUAAAUUUUGCAGGUGAUUUUCAAUAUAAUAAUGUGGAACAAGUGCCAGAGAAAGGAAGAGCUAUAAUUGAACUAAACAAAAUGUGAAUCCCAAACAUUAGACGGAUUAGUCAUACAGAAGAAAGACACUAACAGGUACAACAAGCAGCAAGUAAAGGACAUGGUCAACAGUCACAACAAAAUUAAAAUUGAAACAAAUAAAACUGACUGGAAAAUGAGUCAAUCAGAUAUGCAAACAUAUGAAAAAAUGUGAAGUAGAACCUGGAAUUACAGGUAUUAAUAGAUAUCAGCAUACAUCCCGGUAGCUUGAAAUUUUGAGAAUCCAUGAGCAAUCCAG